UUAGUAGCGAAGUUCCUGAUUCCACACUGCCAAGAAAAGCCUCUAGCGAGGUGAGAGGUGCCCGUACCGCAAACCGACACAGGUAGGCGAGGAGAGAAUCCUAAGGUGAUCGAGAGAACUCUCGUUAAGGAACUCGGCAAAAUGACCCCGUAACUUCGGGAGAAGGGGUGCUCUGUUAGGGUGCAAGCCCGAGAGAGCCGCAGUGAAUAGGCCCAGGCGACUGUUUAGCAAAAACACAGGUCUCUGCGAAGCCGUAAGGCGAAGUAUAGGGGCUGACGCCUGCCCGGUGCUGGAAGGUUAAGAGGAGCGCUUAGCGUAAGCGAAGGUGCGAAUUGAAGCCCCAGUAAACGGCGGCCGUAACGAUAACGGUCCUAAGGUAGCGAAAUUCCUUGUCGGGUAAGUUCCGACCCGCACGAAAGGCGCAACGAUCUGGGCACUGUCUCAACGAGAGACUCGGUGAAGUUAUAGUACCUGUGAAGAUGCAGGUUACCCGCGACAGGACGGAAAGACCCCGUGGAGCUUUACUGCAGCCUGAUAUUGAAUGUUGGUACAGCUUGUACAGGAUAGGUAGGAGCCUUGGAAACCGGAGCGCCAGCUUCGGUGGGGGCAUCGGUGGGAUACUACCCUGGCUGUAUUGACCUUCUAACCCGCCGCCCUUAUCGGGCGGGGAGACAGUGUCAGGUGGGCAGUUUGACUGGGGCGGUCGCCUCCUAAAAGGUAACGGAGGCGCCCAAAGGUUCCCUCAGAAUGGUUGGAAAUCAUUCGCAGAGUGUAAAGGCACAAGGGAGCUUGACUGCGAGACCUACAAGUCGAGCAGGGACGAAAGUCGGGCUUAGUGAUCCUGUGGUUCCGCAUGGAAGGGCCAUCGCUCAACGGAUAAAAGCUACCCCGGGGAUAACAGGCUUAUCUCCCCCAAGAGUCCACAUCGACGGGGAGGUUUGGCACCUCGAUGUCGGCUCAUCGCAUCCUGGGGCUGUAGUCGGUCCCAAGGGUUGGACUGUUCGCCCAUUAAAGCGGUACGCGAGCUGGGUUCAGAACGUCGUGAGACAGUUCGGUCCCUAUCCGUCGCGGGCGCAGGAAAUUUGAGAGGAGCUGUCCUUAGUACGAGAGGACCGGGAUGGACGCACCGCUGGUGUACCAGUUGUUCUGCCAAGGGCAUCGCUGGGUAGCUAUGUGCGGACGGGAUAAGUGCUGAAAGCAUCUAAGCAUGAAGCCCCCCUCAAGAUGAGAUUUCCCAUUCCGCAAGGAAGUAAGAUCCCUUAAAGAUGAUCAGGUUGAUAGGUCUGAGGUGGAAGUGUGGCGACACAUGGAGCUGACAGAUACUAAUCGAUCGAGGGCUUAACC
rnacentral:rRNA from 1 species